rnacentral:rRNA from 1 species
GACGAACGCUGGCGGCGUGCCUAAUACAUGCAAGUAGAACGAGUGGCGGACGGGUGAGUAAUGUCUGGGAAACUGCCCGAUGGAGGGGGAUAACUACUGGAAACGGUAGCUAAUACCGCAUAUUGAUGGAUGGACCCGCGGUGCAUUAGCUAGUAGGUGGGGUAACGGCUCACCUAGGCGACGAUCCCUAGCUGGUCUGAGAGGAUGACCAGCCACACUGGAACUGAGACACGGUCCAGACUCCUACGGGAGGCAGCAGUGGGGAAUAUUGCACAAUGGGCGCAAGCCUGAUGCAGCCAUGCCGCGUGUAUGAAGAAGGCCUUCGGGUUGUAAAGUACUUUCAGCGAGGAGGCGUUACUCGCAGAAGAAGCACCGGCUAACUCCGUGCCAGCAGCCGCGGUAAUAC